UACGAAGGGGGCUAGCGUUGCUCGGAUUGACUGGGCGUAAAGGGCGCGUAGGCGGUUCGUACAGUCAGACGUGAAAUUCCUGGCUCAACCUGGGGGCUGCGUUUGAUACGUGCGGACUUGAGUGCGGAAGAGGGUCGUGGAAUUCCCAGUGUAGAGGUGAAAUUCGUAGAUAUUGGGAAGAACACCGGUGGCGAAGACGGCGACCUGGUCCGAUACUGACGCUGAGGCGCGAAAGCGUGGGGAGCAAACAGGAUUGAGAUACCCGUAGGGUAAGCUCCGA
rnacentral:rRNA from 1 species